UACGUAGGCAGCAAGCGUUGUUCGGAGUUACUGGGCGUAAAGGGUGCGUAGGUGGUUUGUUAAGUCUGCUGUGAAAUCCCCGGGCUCAACCUGGGAAUGGCAGUGGAUACUGGCAAGCUAGAGUGCGGUAGAGGGUGGCGGAAUUCCCCCAAGUAGAGGUGAAAUUCGUAGAUAUGGGGGAGGAACACCGGUGGCGAAGGCGGCCACCUGGACGGUAACUGACGCUGAGACGCGAAAGCGUGGGGGAGCAAACAGG
rnacentral:rRNA from 1 species